ensembl:misc_RNA Metazoa_SRP Metazoan signal recognition particle RNA
GCUGGGUGUGGUGACGUGCACCUGUAAUCCCAGCUACUCAGGAGGCUGAGGCAGGAGAAUCGCUUGAACCCGGGAGGCAGAGGUUGCAGUGAGCCGAGCUUGCACCACUGCACUCCAGCCUGGGCAACAGAGUGAGACUCUGUCUCAA